rnacentral:rRNA from 1 species
GACGAACGCUGGCGGCGUGCUUAACACAUGCAAGUCGAGCGGUAAGGCCCUUUCGGGGGUACACGAGCGGCGAACGGGUGAGUAACACGUGGGUGACCUGCCCUCAGCUCUGGGAUAAGCCUGGGAAACCGGGUCUAAUACUGGAUAUGACUCCAUGACGCAUGUUGUGGGGUGGAAAGCCUUGUGCGGCUGAGGAUGGGCCCGCGGCCUAUCAGCUUGUUGGUGGGGUGANGGCCUACCAAGGCGACGACGGGUAGCCGGCCUGAGAGGGCGACCGGCCACACUGGGACUGAGACACGGCCCAGACUCUACGGGAGGCAGCAGUGGGGAAUCUUGCGCAAUGGGCGAAAGCCUGACGCAGCGACGCCGCGUGAGGGAUGACGGCCU